rnacentral:rRNA from 1 species
AGCGAACGCUGGCGGCAGGCUUAACACAUGCAAGUCGAACGGUAAGGCCCUUCGGGGUACACGAGUGGCGAACGGGUGAGUAACACGUGGGUGAUCUGCCCUGCACUUCGGGAUAAGCCUGGGAAACUGGGUCUAAUACCGGAUAGGACUCCGGACUGCAUGGUCUGGGGUGGAAAGCUUUUGCGGUGUGGGAUGGGCCCGCGGCCUAUCAGCUUGUUGGUGGGGUGAUGGCCUAGCAAGGCGACGACGGGUAGCCGGCCUGAGAGGGUGACCGGCCACACUGGGACUGAGAUACGGCCCAGACUCCUACGGGAGGCAGCAGUGGGGAAUAUUGCACAAUGGGCGCAAGCCUGAUGCAGCGACGCCGCGUGAGGGAUGACGGCCUUCGGGUUGUAAACCUCUUUCAGCAUCGACGAAGCGAAAGUGACGGUAGGUGCAGAAGAAGGACCGGCCAACUACGUGCCAGCCGCCGCCGUAA